AACAAGCACCCAUUUCACCCUUCUUCCGUGAUGUCACCGCACAAACAUGAACCCAAGCUUGGGUUUCGGUUUCUUCGAUUCUUUUCCACUUCCUCUCCGAUUCCUCCCUCUACCUGCUCCUCCUUCCCACCUCCAUGGCUGCGCUAGAAUGGGCGCUGCUCCUCCUGCUCGUAGCGGCAACGGCGCAGACGCUUCCGAUGGCUACUGGAGAAGACUCGCCGGCGCCGAGGGGACGGGUGAUCGAGGUGGAGGAGGGGCCGAAGUCGGUGGUGUGGGUGGUGCAGCUCUCCGACCUCCACAUAAGCGUCCACCACCCGGAAAGGGCCUAUGACCUACAGCGCUACCUCGGCCCCGCCCUCGCCAUGAUUAACCCCUCCCUCGUCCUCAUCACCGGCGAUCUCACCGAUGGGAAGAGUAAAGAUCUAUUGACCAUGAAGCUUGAUGAGGUGGAGUGGAAGGAGUAUCAGCACGUUGUUGAUAAUAUUGUUCAAAGAAGUGGGCUUAACAAGGACAUCUUCUAUGACCUUAGAGGGAACCAUGAUUGUUUUGGUGUUCCCAAGGCUGGUGGUGCUUAUGACUACUAUCACAAGUACAGUAUAAAUGCAAGAACAGGGCGAAAAGGAAAUGUCCAGAGCAUUACAUUACAGAAUGGAAGAUGGAGGCAUCUUUUUGUUGGAUUUGAUAGCACGAUGGAAACUAGUCUCCGUGGGCCAACAAAUGUGUUUGGGCAUCCAACCGACAAAUUACUUGUAGAUAUAGAUUUGGAACUUUCACAAUGGGAUGCUGAAUCAUUAGUAACAAAAAUUUCCUUUGGGCACUUCCCUUUAUCUUUCUCAACAUUAACAGAUGCAGGCAAAAGCUUAAGAGAUGUAUUCCUUAAGCACUCUUUGUCAGCUUAUCUCUGUGGGCAUCUUCAUACAAAAUUUGGCAACUUGAAGCGCCAUCAUCAAUUAGACCAUUCAGUAAAUUAUCAAGAAGGAUUUCUCAGUAAUAAUGAUAAUCAUAAUUGCUCAAGCAAAAGUGUUCCGCUCAAUGAAUUUUGGGAAUGGGAGAUGGGCGACUGGAGAAGGAGUAGAACUAUGAGAGUGCUGGCUAUUGAUUCUGGACAUGUUUCAUAUGUUGAUAUAGAUUUCAGAUUGGGAUCUAAGGAUACCAUUAUAUUGCCUACUUUUCCUUUGGACUCAAGGUUCAUGCAAAGAAUUUCAUCAGUCCGUGAUUUCAAAUGUCAACCUGAGAGAGGCUCAUCUUAUGAGUUGGUGAGAACUCUAGUGUUUUCAAGACAGAAAAUUGUGUUGGUAUCUGUGAAGAUAUAUGACACUCAGUAUGGAACUCCUAAUAUCGUGCUAGAUUCCAACAUGGAAAAGGUUGAAGGCAAUAGAACUAGAGGAGAUCUCUAUGUGGCUCCAUGGAACUGGAGAGCGUUUGCAGAUCCAUCUCCUAGCCGCUAUUGGCUGCAAAUAACAGCUUUAGACAAUUUUGGUAAAACCAGUUUCAGUGAAUUAAGACCAUUCUCUAUCAAUGGUCUUGCUGCACAAGUUAGUUGGAGCUGGAAAGAGUUCCGCGUAAUGGGCUUACAUUGGCCGUCGAUUUACCAUCCUGCUUUUUGGUCUGUCCUCUCAUUUAUGUUCUUGUUACUUGUUAUUCCACAAGUGUUAUUUCUAUUCUGGAAUAAGCUUCUCACUUAUGAGUAUGUUAGACCUACAAAUGCAAGGAGUUACAAGGAACAUUUAGUUGAUGCUGCAUUAUUAGCGUUGAUGGAGUUCCCCAGGAUGACCAUAGUAUGGUUGGGGUUCCUGUUAUAUUUGCUCUACUUGUCAUAUUUCCCUUGGUUCUUUGGACAUGUUUUUGGUGAACUUGACACUAAAGCUUCUAUGAGUUAUCAAGGUUGGUUUAUUCCAAAAUCUGACAAAAAUCUUGAUCUCCGCUAUGUUGGGGUACCUGAUAUCAUGGUGGUUGUAUUACCUCAUCUUUGCUUUGUUGUUCUACCAACUAUUUUAGUUGUCGGAGCAAUGGUUGCAGAAAGAACAACACAUCGAAGGUAUUUCCUAUUACUAUCUGGGAAGAAAGAUGAUGGUUUUUCUAGAGACAAAAAUGGGCAGCCUAAGAAUGUGACUUCUUGCUAUUCACACCGAAUAUGUCAUGGAAGGUGGAUUAGAAAGUUACUUUUUCUGGUCAUUGCUUUAAUCUUGUGGAAGCACUUUAAGAAUUGCAGAGAUUUGGUGAGGGCUUAUGAUAUGAAUCCUUUUAUCGAUUCCCCUGUCUAUUGCUUCGUGAUUCCAGUACUUCUAAUAUAUGCUGCCUACAAGACUUCAGCAGUUUAGAUGAAUAAUCGGCAUCUAGGUGGAGAAGAAAACAACAUGCUUUUCUGAUCAACAUCCUGUGAGUUUAUAGAUUGGAAGUGUUGAAAGAUUUGGGUGACGUACUCGAGGGAGCAGAGGAAGGAGGAGACGCGGAGCAGAUUGAAGAGGACGAGGGCGUGGCGGUCCUGGACGAUCUUGACGGCGAUGGCAUGGAUUUGGAGGAACUGGCCCAUGGAUUUGCAUCUCCGCAAGAGGGGGAUCACCGAUCACGAUGUCCAUGGAGGGAGGAGCCGACGGGCGAUGGCAUGGAUUUAGAGGAAAAUUCUGGAAUCGAACCGGGUUCAGUAGCCCCGGGGGGCAAGGGUCUGAUAUUAACAUCAUAACACCGUUACAAUAGCCAUU